UUGGAAGGAAUUGGUGGGCUAAAUACAGAUGGGGUCAAAUGUGGCUUGCAACAAGUUGGAAAAUGAAAUUUAUACAUAAAGACUUCAACUUUUGCCUGGAUAUGCAUUAUACUUUGAUGAAAUUACUGACAUGGUGAAAAUGUUACAAGAAUAUUGAAGGAGUUGCACUAGGAAUCCUUUAUCUUCAUAAAGAUUCCAGGGUCAGAAGAAUAUACCAUGAUCUAAAGGAUAGUAAUAUGUUGGUAUGGUGGAAUUUAAAUCCUACAGUUUCUGAUUUUGAUAUGGCCAAAGAUUUUUGGAGUUGAUUAUGCUCAAACAAACACAAAUAAAGUAGUAGUUGGAGGUUGGAAUCUAGUGAGCACUAAGUUGUUGAGUUCAAUUUUUAUGGAGUCAGUUUUUCCAUACCAACUUCUGAAU